GCCCUAUAUUGGGUGCAGAGUCUACCUAAAAAAAAAAAAAAAAAAAAAAUCUAUCAAACAUAUCCAUGUGGGUCUAUUUCUGAUGAUUUAGUAUUUUCCUUUUAUCUUCAUUCAGUUUAGGAGGAGGAAAACUAGUAGCUGCCUUCCACAAUUUUACUGUCACUUCCUUUAUGUCCAUUCUUGAAGUGACCAUUGGAAAUGUUGUGUUGAAAAGGAUUAUGAGGCUAAGGCAAAUGGAAGAAAAUGUCAAGAUCGAGUAGCUAUGUCUGUUAUAACAGAGAAAAAAAAAAAGUGUUACAGCAAAUAGUCCACAAACUUACCAACUCUGGACAAACCCAAAUAAAUACUACAUCACUUGGUCAACUAUAAUCCAGAAGAGCACCACGAUUACUGAAUUACCACUCUAGUACUGACUGAAGUUUGUUGAAAACAGAAAGCAAGAUAUCUGUGAACAUGCUUUGAUCUACUAACGUUAUGAUGAUUAUUAUGCCUGCUAGAGUAAUUCUAGCCCCAGUCAGGCUACUGAGAAGUAAGUCAGCAAACAAUAAAGAGCUACUGGAUCUGAUAGAGAAUCAGCAAUCACCAAGAGACUUUGCACAUUGAGCUAGAUGCAUAACUGGACAAGCUUCCUUGAAACUAUCUGUGGCCGUGUGAUUAAGUUCCAGGGACUUCCCUAAUCCUACUGAAGCAGUGAUACUACAAGAAAUCGAAGCUGUUUGUGGAGCCUAUCCUUCUAGCCCCUCAAAAAAUUCCAGUCAAUUCCCAGAAACCUAGAUGUUAUAAGCAAGACAUAGCAUGCCAUGGAGGCAGGAAUCUCAGAGUUCCAACUGGUGAAGCUGCCAGGUUCAAGAGAGAAGUUCCACAGGUAGUAGAGGGCUGUGGGAAGAGCACUGAACUUGGAGUCAAGACACUUCAGUCCAGUCUCAUCUUCAAUCUGCUGGUUAAACAGGAGCAAAUCUCCCAGCACCCUGAGGAUCACCAUCCCUCUACCGAAACACGAGUAUUAAACUACAUGAACUCUAAUGUACGUUCCCUUUAUUUUCAGAGGGAAAAAAAUGUUUUAUUAAACAUAUUUGUACAUAAUUAAACAAAUGUUUAGUUUGGUAAAAUGUGCAUCACUCUCUCAAUUUUCAUAAUCUCUUUUACCCUAAAAAAAUAAUUUAUUUUUGUUAUAUAUAAUAGUCUUGAUUCAUAAAUUCAGACAUGUAAGAAUUGUAGGGUUUUUUAUUGUUAAUAUUUCUUUUUGACCCCAAAUUACCAUUAUGACACUUCCAUGACUCUGAAAGUCAUUCUGUUUCCCCAUUCUGAAGUCUUAUCUUAGGCAAUACCAGUUCUUGAGAGGGAGGUGUCAGCCAUAGGCCCAAUUAAAUUACCACUCAGAUAUCUUUUCCUUCUGACCUCACUUCUCCUUCAGUUUUAGAGUCUCUGCUGAUUUCAUGUCUAUGCAGGAGAUGAAAAUCUUUUAUGAGCUUCUCUAUGAUUUUCUCAGUCUAGGAUAUCAUGCUGCCACUCCACUGGAGGUGGGGAUGAGGGUGAUGGAGGCGGUGGGGCAAGAGGUUGCUGCAUUCUAACAGGCACUAGGUCUCAGAAGCUUAAAGAACCGCAGGGAUCUCUCUUUCUCCCAUCCCUCAGGCCCAGGACACUAUUUCUAAUGAGAGCGGACUAACAAACUCUUUCGUUGUAUAUAGUAUACCAAGAAACUGUCCUUCCACAAAUUCCUGUCUCUCUUUAAAUCCCUUUACGUAUAUACUUCAAGGUCUCCAGAAGAAAGACAUUUGAUUAGCUUUAGAAUUCCAAUAAAGCAUGAAUGUUUAAAAUUUAAAAACUAGGUAAUGGGUAUUAAGGUGGGCAUGUGUUGGGAUGAGCACUGGGUGUUAUAUGCAACUAAUGAAUCAUUGAACACUACAACAAAAACUUACGAGAUACUAUAUCCUGGCUAACUGAAUACAAUUAAAAAAAUUAAAGAGAAGCAUUAAAAGAAUAGAACUAUAACUUUUAAAGCAGUAGAGGAGAAAAAUAAAUUAAAAAACCUGAACAGUCCAAAUAAGGCAAGAGAAAGAAAAAAGAGGAGCAAAAAAUGUAAGACAUGUGAAAGCAGAAAUAAAAAUGGGACAUAAAUACAAACAUAUUGUAAAUCAUAAUAAGUACAAAAUUCUACACAUCAAUACUUAAAGCUAAAUAUUAUCAGGUUGGAUCUCCAAAAUUACAUUCAGCAAGAAACUAUUUACUAAAGAUAAAAUCAGACAUUAAAAUACAAAAAGAAGGGAUGCCUCUGUGGCUCAGUGGGUUAAGCCUCUGCCUUCAGCUCAGGUCAUGAUCUCAGGGUCCUGGGGUCAAGCCCCGCAUCAGGCUCUCUGCUCAGCAGGGAGCCUGCUUCCCCCCUCUCUCUCUGCCUGCCUCUCUGCCUACUUGUGAUCUCUCUCUCUGUAUCAAAUAAAUAAAUAAAAUCUUUUAAAAAAAAAGAUACAGGAGGAUGAAAGUAAAAACUUGGGAAAUAGAUAUUAGGCAGGUACUUUAGCUAAAUGACUUGAAACAUAAUGGACAUUAGGCAUAUACAUUACUGAGGUACUAAAAGAGUCAUUAUAUAAUUGUUUAAUGAUUUCUAAUGAGGAAUUGAAAUAAUUAAAAUUAUUAAAAUAGGGACCUAAUAACGUGAAUUUAAAAUAUGUAAAGCAAAAAAUUUAACUAAAGGGAAAUUAAAACUUUAGAAUAGUAGUAGAAAUUUUCAUACAACUUGUCAUUACUGGAUGGAUUAAACACAUAAAUAUCAGUAUUAGAAGGUCUGGAUAUAAAAAUUAAUAAGAUUGACAUAUUAGAAACUAUGAUCUCUGUGUAUAGUAGUAAUAAGAAAAUUCACAUUCUUGCAAGCACAUAUGAAUUAUUUACAAAAAAUUAAAAAGCACACACUAGCUCAGAAAGUUCAUAUCAACAUCAAACAAUGAGUCUAUGUGUGAUUAAGUUAUGCUGAAUUAUAAAUCAAUAAAAUUCCAUCCAUUGGAAAUUUUAAGCAUUCUAAAUACAUCAUGGUUUAAGAAAUGAAAAUGGUAAUCAAACAUUUAAAAGAGAAUGAUACUGAGACUAUUUCAAAUAAAAUAAAUCUUAUAGCGCUUAGCUAAAGUAGUACUUAGAGGAAAAUUUAUAGUAUCGAAUCCAUGUUUUGGAAAGAACAGGAACAAAAUUAACAAAAUGACUGGUUUGAGAAGUUAGAAAAUGUACAACAGAGCAAUCCCUUUGGAAAAAGGACAUUAGCGUAGUAGUAAGAAAGAAAGAAUGGAGAAGAACAAACCAAAAGCUGGCUCUCUGGAAAAAAUAGAAAACCUUAAGAAUUGAGCAUUUGUCUAGAAAUAUAUGGAGCAUAGAAACUGAUGCUAGAAAAUGGGGAGUCAAGCCUAUACCUAUUGAAGAAAAUGAAUCAGAAGUUAAAAUUCUACCCCCAUACAAGUGUCAGACACAGAUGAAUUUAUGGAUAAUUUUUAAGAAAAUAGAAUACAGAUAAUUCCCAAUGCAUAGAAAAAAUUAGAGAAUAGAAAAAGAAGAAAAUGUGCUAAUACAUAUAAUGUUAAGAGAUUAUUAUGACAUUGAUACUAAAUUUAAGGAUGGAGAGAAAAAAUAAAAAUAAUAGGAUUUUAAAUAUAUAUGCAUAUGUAAAUACUUAUGCACAUCUACAUAUACAUAUGUAAAUAUGUAAAAUUAAAGAGGGAGAAUGUUAAAAAUAAAAACAGUAGGAUUUUAAAUAUAGAUACAUAUGUAAAUGUAAACUUACCAAUGUAAAUAUGCAUAUAUGUGUAAAAAUAAAUAUAUGUAUGUAAAUAAAGUACUAAUUCCAUGAAUCUAACAAUGUAAUUUAUUGAAUUGACAUAUGCAAAACUGGAAUGUCUCAAAAACAUCAUAUUAAGUAAGCAUAAAUAUAAUUUUAUCAAUGUUAUCAAAUUAAUGAUUAAAGAAAAUUAUUUCUAUAAAUAGAGAGUAAAAGCCAUAUACAUAUAUAUGCAAUGUAACGAUGCCAUUAUAUUGUUAUGCAUUGUUAA